GACGAACGCUGGCGGCGUGCUUAACACAUGCAAGUCGAACGGGUCUGCCCUGUUUUUUGCGGGGUGGGUCAGUGGCGAACGGGUGAGUAACACGUGAGUAACCUGCCCCUCACUUCUGGAUAACCGCUUGAAAGGGUGGCUAAUACGGGGUGUUCUGGCUGUGCCGCAUGGUGUGGCUGGGAAAGAUUCACUUUUGUGGUGUUUUGUGGGGGAUGGGCUCGCGGCCUAUCAGCUUGUUGGUGGGGUGAUGGCCUGCCAAGGCUUUGACGGGUAGCCGGCCUGAGAGGGUGGGCGGUCACACUGGGACUGAGAUACGGCCCAGACUCCUGCGGGAGGCAGCAGUGGGGGGUAUUGCACAAUGGGCGGAAGCCUGAUGCAGCGACGUCGCGUGAGGGAUGGAGGCCUUCGGGUUGUGAACCUCUUUCGCCGGUGAAGAAGGUCCUGCUCUUUGUGGUGGGGUUGACGGUAGCCGGGUUAUGAAGCGCCGGCUAACUACGUG
rnacentral:rRNA from 1 species